rnacentral:rRNA from 1 species
UCGGGAAUUUUGGGCAAUGGGCGAAAGCCUGACCCAGCAACGCCGCGUGAAGGAUGAAGUAUUUCGGUAUGUAAACUUCGUAAGAAUAGGAAGAAUAAAUGACGGUACUAUUUGUAAGGUCCGGCUAACUACGUGCCAGCAGCCGCGGUAAUACGUAGGGACCAAGCGUUGUUCGGAUUUACUGGGCGUAAAGGGCGCGUAGGCGGUGUGUCAAGUCAGUUGUGAAAUCUCCGAGCUUAACUCGGAACGGUCAACUGAUACUGUCACACUAGAGUACAGAAGGGGCAAUCGGAAUUCUUGGUGUAGCGGUGAAAUGCGUAGAUAUCAAGAGGAACACCUGAGGCGAAGGCGGGUUGCUGGGCUGAUACUGACGCUGAAGCGCGAAAGCUAGGGUAGCAAACGGGAUUAGAUACCCAUGUAGUCCCUGAGCGGGCUGGCAAGGCGCAU